AAGACCCCGUGAACCUUUACUAUAGCUUUGCACUGGACUUUGAAUUUGCUUGUGUAGGAUAGGUGGGAGGCUUUGAAGUGGGGACGCCAGUUCUCAUGGAGCCAUCCUUGAAAUACCACCCUGGCAACUUUGAGGUUCUAACUCAGGUCCGUUAUCCGGAUCGAGGACAGUGUAAAGCUAUAGUAAAGGUUCACGGGGUCUUUCCGUCUAGCGAGGAGUACGAAGGUGCGCUCAGACCGGUCGGAAAUCGGUCGUAGAGUAUAAAGGCAAAAGCGCGCUUGACUGCGAGACAGAC
rnacentral:misc_RNA from 1 species